rnacentral:lncRNA from 1 species
CCUCUUCAAUUUGAAAUUCUUUGGAUGCAUCUCUGUCAUAUGAUUCUACCAACCGCUCAACUGAUUUCCUUUCACGUACAGGACGGUUGGUUGUAGGAGUUGUUGGCUCUGCCUCCUUCAGUUCCUUCAUUUUCUUUUUCACAUUCUCCCCACCAACCUUUUCCUUAUCGCCCACCUCCUCAUCUCGACUUCUCUCCUUUUCAAUGCUCUCAUCUUUGGCUUCAGGGAUAUCCUCUAUCUUCUUCAGUUCCUUCAUUUUCUUUUUCACAUUCUCCCCAUUAACCUUUCCUUUCCCGCGUUUUUUCAAUCUCUUCUCAACUUUGAUAUUUUCUUCAUUUGACUUAUUAUCUACCUUAUCCUUAUCAUCCUCUCUGUCUUUUUGACUUUUCUCCUUUUCACUGCCCUCGUCUUUACCUUCAAGGAUACUCUCUUCAUCCAUGGCAUCUAAUUCAGGCUUCUUAGCUUCAACGCUUUCUCUCUCUUCUUUACUAAGCUCAGUUUCCUCACUCAAUUUGUCAUCCUCAAACCCAUUAUCAUCUUUCUUAUCCUCUUCAAUUUCAUCCCCAGCAUCAACUUUCUUAUCCUCUUUUAAUUCUUCCCCUUCAGCUUUCUUCUCCUCUUCUAAUUCUUCCCCUUCAUUGACUUUCUUAUCCUCUAUUAUUUCUACCCCUGCAUCGUCUUUCUUAUCCUCUUUCAAUUUUUCCCCUUCAUCAGCUUUCUUCUCCUCUUUUAAUUCUUCCCCUUCAUUGACUUUCUUAUCCUCUUUUAUUUUUACCGCUGCAUCGUCUUUCUUAUCCUCUUUCAAUUUUUCCCCUUCAUCAGCUUUCUUCUCCUCUUUUAUAUCUCCCCCUUCAUUGACUUUCUUAUCCUCUUUUACCUCUUGCCCGACAUCAACUUUCUUAUCCUCUUUUCUUUCUUCCCCUCCAUUGUCUUUCUUAUCCUCUUUUAGUUCUUCUCCUUCAUCAGCUUGCUUGUCCUCUUUUAUUUCUUUCCCUUCGUUAACUUUCUCAUCCUCUUUUAUUCCUUCCCCAUCCCCAGCUUUGAUAGCGUUUUCUGUUACAACAUCACCAUCAUCAGCUAGCUUAUCCAUUUCUAGUACUUCCUCC